rnacentral:rRNA from 1 species
CAAAAACAUCGCCUCUUGCCUAACACUAUAAGAGGUCUAACCUGCCCAGUGAUGCAAAUUUAACGGCCGCGGUAUUUUGACCGUGCAAAGGUAGCGUAAUCAAUUGUCUUUUAAAUGAAGACCUGUAUGAAAGGUGAAACGAAAACUCAACUGUCUCAUUCUUUUAACCAAUGAAACUGAUCUCUCCGUGCAGAAGCGGGGAUUAAAACAUUAGACAAAAAGACCCUGUGGAGCUUCAGAUAAAACAGCUUAUGAUUUUUACAAACAUUCUGUAAAACUCUAAAUCCUAUUAAUAUCUUUGAUUGGGGCGAUCGCGGAGAAAAUAUACCCUCCAUGAAGAAAAACACUAUUUUUAUAAUUAAGAGCCACAACCCUAAAUACUAAAAUAUUUAACUUCAUGAACCGGCUAGCCGAUUAACGAACCCAGUUACCCCAGGGAUAACAGCGCAAUCCCCUUAAAGAGUACUUAUCAUCAAGGGGGUUUACGACCUCGAUGUUGGAUCAGGACAUCCUAAUGGCGCACCAACUAUUAAGGGUUCGUUUGUUCAACGAUUAAAGUCCUACGUGA